UUUAAGUGUAGCUAUGAGUUUCAUACCUUUGAUUAUUUAUCUUAUUUGAAAUUUUUUUUAUGAUUAAUAUUUUUAUUGUUAUUAGAUGAUAAAAUAUAAAUAGUAUUUUAUGUGUGGCUUACGUUUUUAAUUUUUUAAAAAAAAAUUGAAAUAAGACGAAUGAUCAAAAUUGGACACGAAAAAUUAUGGCUGCAUUUAAA
rfam:Oryza glumipatula chromosome 1, whole genome shotgun sequence.